rnacentral:rRNA from 1 species
CGUGUCGUGAGAUGUUGGGUUAAGUCCCGCAACGAGCGCAACCCCUAUCCCUAGUUGCUAAUUAAGCCGCAAGGUUUAAUGCACUCUAUGGAGACCGCCGCUGAUAAAGCGGAGGAAGGUGGGGAUGACGUCAAGUCAGUACGGCCCUUACGCCUGGGGCUACACACGUGCUACAAUGGCCGGUACAAAGGGCUGCUAAGCGCGAGGUGGAGCCAAUCCCAAAAGCCGGUCCCAGUUCGGACUGUAGGCUGCAAUUCGCCUGCAUGAAGCCGGAAUCGUUAGUAACCCUAUAUCAGCCACGACAGGGUGAAUACGUUCCCGGGUCUU